GACGAACGCUGGCGGCGUGCUUAACACAUGCAAGUCGAACGGAAAGGCCCCGCCUUUGUGGGGUACACGAGUGGCGAACGGGUGAGUAACACGUGGGUGACCUGCCCUUCACUUCGGGAUAAGCCUGGGAAACUGGGGCUAAUACCGGAUAGGACCUCCCGGUGCGUGUGGGGUGGAAGGAAUUUUCGGUGUGGGAUGGGCGCGCGGCCUAUCAGCUGGUUGGUGGGGUAAUGGCCUACCAAGGCGGCGACGGGUAGCCGGCCUGAGAGGGUGGACGGCCACAUUGGGACUGAGACACGGCCCAGACUCCUACGGGAGGCAGCAGUGGGGAAUAUUGCACAAUGGGCGGAAGCCUGAUGCAGCGACGCCGCGUGCGGGAUGACGGCCUUCGGGUUGUAAACUCCUUUCGCCAUCGACGAAGGGUUUCUGACGGUAGAUGGUGAAGAAGCACCGGCUAACUACGUG
rnacentral:rRNA from 1 species